UACGUAGGGGGCAAGCGUUAUCCGGAAUUAUUGGGCGUAAAGAGUACGUAGGUGGCAACCUAAGCGCAGGGUUUAAGGCAAUGGCUCAACCAUUGUUCGCCCUGCGAACUGGGAUGCUUGAGUGCAGGAGAAGAAAGCGGAAUUCCUAGUGUAGCGGUGAAAUGCGUAGAUAUUAGGAGGAACACCAGUGGCGAAGGCGGCUUUCUGGACUGUAACUGACACUGAGGUACGAAAGCGUGGGGAGCAAACAGG
rnacentral:rRNA from 1 species